rnacentral:lncRNA from 1 species
CUGCUGGGAUUCUAUUUUUACCUUCUAGAGAAGAAUUUCUCAUUUUAUUGGAGUGAUUUUCCUUGCACGUGUGGCUGACACAGUAAAACUUUCAAAUUCCUAACAAGUUGGUCUUCUGGGACUGAACAAAAAUGGGUUGAAGGGGGCAGUGGUGGAAGUAAAAAUCAUCCUUUGCUCUCACCGAAGUAGAGACAGCAGUGGCGUGUUAUCCUAAACCUGGAACUGGGAUCAGAAGAUAUGAAUUCAAGGCACUGGCUCUGCAACCAUUGUGCUUGUUGACAUUGUGAAAAUUAUAUAAUCUCUCAGCCUCAGUUACCUUAGACACAAAGGGGAAUAAGUAUGACUUAUUCUGUGCUAUUUCUGA